AAUGGGUCAGCGACUUAUAUUCUGUAGCAAGGUUAACCGAAUAGGGGAGCCGAAGGGAAACCGAGUCUUAACUGGGCGUUAAGUUGCAGGGUAUAGACCCGAAACCCGGUGAUCUAGCCAUGGGCAGGUUGAAGGUUGGGUAACACUAACUGGAGGACCGAACCGACUAAUGUUGAAAAAUUAGCGGAUGACUUGUGGCUGGGGGUGAAAGGCCAAUCAAACCGGGAGAUAGCUGGUUCUCCCCGAAAGCUAUUUAGGUAGCGCCUCGUGAAUUCAUCUCCGGGGGUAGAGCACUGUUUCGGCAAGGGGGUCAUCCCGACUUACCAACCCGAUGCAAACUGCGAAUACCGGAGAAUGUUAUCACGGGAGACACACGGCGGGUGCUAACGUCCGUCGUGAAGAGGGAAACAACCCAGACCGCCAGCUAAGGUCCCAAAGUCAUGGUUAAGUGGGAAACGAUGUGGGAAGGCCCAGACAGCCAGGAUGUUGGCUUAGAAGCAGCCAUCAUUUAAAGAAAGCGUAAUAGCUCACUGGUCGAGUCGGCCUGCGCGGAAGAUGUAACGGGGCUAAACCAUGCACCGAAGCUGCGGCAGCGACACUGUGUGUUGUUGGGUAGGGGAGCGUUCUGUAAGCCUGUGAAGGUGUGCUGUGAGGCAUGCUGGAGGUAUCAGAAGUGCGAAUGCUGACAUAAGUAACGAUAAAGCGGGUGAAAAGCCCGCUCGCCGGAAGACCAAGGGUUCCUGUCCAACGUUAAUCGGGGCAGGGUGAGUCGACCCCUAAGGCGAGGCCGAAAGGCGUAGUCGAUGGGAAACAGGUUAAUAUUCCUGUACUUGGUGUUACUGCGAAGGGGGGACGGAGAAGGCUAUGUUGGCCGGGCGACGGUUGUCCCGGUUUAAGCGUGUAGGCUGGUUUUCCAGGCAAAUCCGGAAAAUCAAGGCUGAGGCGUGAUGACGAGGCACUACGGUGCUGAAGCAACAAAUGCCCUGCUUCCAGGAAAAGCCUCUAAGCAUCAGGUAACAUCAAAUCGUACCCCAAACCGACACAGGUGGUCAAGUAGAGAAUACCAAGGCGCUUGAGAGAACUCGGGUGAAGGAACUAGGCAAAAUGGUGCCGUAACUUCGGGAGAAGGCACGCUGAUAUGUAGGUGAAGUCCCUCGCGGAUGGAGCUGAAAUCAGUCGAAGAUACCAGCUGGCUGCAACUGUUUAUUAAAAACACAGCACUGUGCAAACACGAAAGUGGACGUAUACGGUGUGACGCCUGCCCGGUGCCGGAAGGUUAAUUGAUGGGGUCAGCGCAAGCGAAGCUCUUGAUCGAAGCCCCGGUAAACGGCGGCCGUAACUAUAACGGUCCUAAGGUAGCGAAAUUCCUUGUCGGGUAAGUUCCGACCUGCACGAAUGGCGUAAUGAUGGCCAGGCUGUCUCCACCCGAGACUCAGUGAAAUUGAACUCGCUGUGAAGAUGCAGUGUACCCGCGGCAAGACGGAAAGACCCCGUGAACCUUUACUAUAGCUUGACACUGAACAUUGAGCCUUGAUGUGUAGGAUAGGUGGGAGGCUUUGAAGUGUGGACGCCAGUCUGCAUGGAGCCGACCUUGAAAUACCACCCUUUAAUGUUUGAUGUUCUAACGUGGACCCGUGAUCCGGGUUGCGGACAGUGUCUGGUGGGUAGUUUGACUGGGGCGGUCUCCUCCUAAAGAGUAACGGAGGAGCACGAAGGUUGGCUAAUCCUGGUCGGACAUCAGGAGGUUAGUGCAAUGGCAUAAGCCAGCUUGACUGCGAGCGUGACGGCGCGAGCAGGUGCGAAAGCAGGUCAUAGUGAUCCGGUGGUUCUGAAUGGAAGGGCCAUCGCUCAACGGAUAAAAGGUACUCCGGGGAUAACAGGCUGAUACCGCCCAAGAGUUCAUAUCGACGGCGGUGUUUGGCACCUCGAUGUCGGCUCAUCACAUCCUGGGGCUGAAGUAGGUCCCAAGGGUAUGGCUGUUCGCCAUUUAAAGUGGUACGCGAGCUGGGUUUAGAACGUCGUGAGACAGUUCGGUCCCUAUCUGCCGUGGGCGCUGGAGAACUGAGGGGGGCUGCUCCUAGUACGAGAGGACCGGAGUGGACGCAUCACUGGUGUUCGGGUUGUCAUGCCAAUGGCACUGCCCGGUAGCUAAAUGCGGAAGAGAUAAGUGCUGAAAGCAUCUAAGCACGAAACUUGCCCCGAGAUGAGUUCUCCCUGACCCUUUAAGGGUCCUGAAGGAACGUUGAAGACGACGACGUUGAUAGGCCGGGUGUGUAAGCGCAGCGAUGCGUUGAGCUAACCGGUACUAAUGAACCGUGAGGCUUAACCUUACAACGCCGAAGGUGUUU
rnacentral:rRNA from 1 species